GCUUUCCCUCCAGAGUGGAUCCUGAGUACGGCGGAACACGUGAAAUUCCGUCGGAAUCCGGGAGGACCAUCUCCCAAGGCUAAAUACUCCCUAGUGACCGAUAGUGAACCAGUACCGUGAGGGAAAGGUGAAAAGCACCCCGGAAGGGGAGUGAAACAGUUCCUGAAACCGUGUGCCUACAAGUAGUUAGAGCCCGUUAAUGGGUGAUAGCGUGCCUUUUGUAGAAUGAACCGGCGUA
rnacentral:rRNA from 1 species